UACGGAGGAUCCAAGCGUUAUCCGGAAUCAUUGGGUUUAAAGGGUCCGUAGGCGGUUUGAUAAGUCAGUGGUGAAAGCCCUACGCUUAACGUAGGAACGGCCAUUGAUACUGUCAGACUUGAAUUAUUAGGAAGUAACUAGAAUAUGUAGUGUAGGCGGUGAAAUGCUUAGAGAUUACAUGGAAUACCAAAUUGCGAAGG
rnacentral:rRNA from 1 species